CGGAGGAUCCAAGCGUUAUCCGGAUUUAUUGGGUUUAAAGGGUGCGUAGGCGGCUUAGUAAGUCAGGGGUGAAAGACGGUGGCUCAACCAUCGCAGUGCCUUUGAUACUGCUGAGCUAGAAUGUAGAUGAAGUAGGCGGAAUGUGACAAGUAGCGGUGAAAUGCAUAGAUAUGUCACAGAACACCAAUUGCGAAGGCAGCUUACUAAGGUACAAUUGACGCUGAUGCACGAAAGCGUGGGAUCAAACAGGAUU
rnacentral:rRNA from 1 species